AUCCCAUGAUGUGGGCAUUUCCGCAACAAUUCCUUGAACCUCUCCCACGUAUCGUAUAAUGUCUCUGACUCCAACUGAUAGAAGGAAGAGAUAUCGUUCCUCAUUUU